GACACUAUGGCCGAGUGGUUAAGGCGACAGAUUCGAAUAGCUCGAUUAUCUGUUUCGGUCUCCGAGCGCAGGUUCAAAUCCUGCUGGUGUCG
rnacentral:tRNA from 1 species